rnacentral:rRNA from 1 species
CCUACGGGUGGCAGCAGUAGGGAAUCUUUCACCAUGGGCGAAAGCCUGAUGGCGCAACGCCGCGUGCAGGAUGAAGGCCUUCUGGUUGUACACUGCUUUUAUAAGCGAGAAAUAUGAUGGUAACUUAUGACUAUUGAUCGGCUAACUACGUGCCAGCAGCCGCGGUCAUACGUAGGAUCCGAGCAUUAUCCGGAGUGACUGGGUGUAAAGAGUUGCGUAGGUGGCAUAAUAAGUAGCUAGUGAAAUCUGGUGGCUCAACCAUUCAGACUAUUAGCUAAACUGUGAAGCUCGAGACCGGUAGGGGUAACUGGAAUUUCUAGUGUAGCGGUGAAAUGCGUAGAUAUUAGGAGGAACACCAGUGGCGAAGGCGGCCUGCUGGGCUUUAACUGACGCUGAGGCUCGAAAGUGUGGGGAGCAAACAGGAUUAGAUACCCGUGUAGUC